rnacentral:rRNA from 1 species
UAUUCCCGUACCCGCUUCAAUGCGCCCAUAUCGAAGCUCGUGAUGCUAAGAGUCCUUAAGUCCUCUGAUGUCCUUCGGGACUAGGGGUGAGGCUGAACGCUCGAUCCGAUCGGGUAGUAGGUAAGCGAUGGGGUGACGCAGGAAGGUAGUCCAGCCCAGGCGAUGGUUGUCCUGGGGUAAGCAUGUAGGGCGUGUCGUAGGUAAAUCCGCGGCAUUUAAGCCUGAGAUGUGAUGCCGAGCCGAUUGUGGUGAAGUGGAUGAUCCUAUGCUGCCGAGAAAAGCCUCUAGUGAGUGUUGUGCGGCCCGUACCCUAAACCGACUCAGGUGGUCAGGUAGAGAAUACCAAGGCGAUCGGGUGAACUGUGGUUAAGGAACUCGGCAAAUUGCCCCCGUAACUUCGGGAGAAGGGGGACCUCUGUUGGUGAUGGGCUUUACGCCUGGAGCUGGUGGGGGUCGCAGUGGCCAGGGGGAAGCGACUGUUUACUAAAAACACAGGUCCGUGCGAAGUCGUAAGACGAUGUAUACGGACUGACGCCUGCCCGGUGCCGGAACGUUAAGGGGACCGCUUAGCUGACGUGAGUUGGCGAAGGUGAGAACUUAAGCGCCGGUAAACGGCGGUGGUAACUAUAACCAUCCUAAGGUAGCGAAAUUCCUUGUCGGGUAAGUUCCGACCUGCACGAAUGGCGUAACGACUUCCCCGCUGUCUCAACCGCAGACCCGGCGAAAUUGCACUACGAGUAAAGAUGCUCGUUUCGCGCAGCAGGACGGAAAGACCCCGGGACCUUCACUACAGCUUGACAUUGGCGUUUGGAACGUCUUGUGUAGGAUAGGUGGGAGACUGGGAAGCUGUCACGCUAGUGAUGGUGGAGUCAUAGGUGAAAUACCACUCUGGUCGUUUUGAACGUCUAACUCUGGUCCGUGAUCCGGAUCGGGGACAGUGUCUGGUGGGUAGUUUAACUGGGGCGGUUGCCUCCUAAAGAGUAACGGAGGCGCCCAAAGGUUCCCUCAGCCUGGUUGGCAAUCAGGUGUUGAGUGUAAGUGCACAAGGGAGCUUGACUGUGAGACUGACAGGUCGAGCAGGAGCGAAAGCUGGGACUAGUGAUCCGGCAUCGGCGUGUGGAAGCGGUGUCGCUCAACGGCUAAAAGGUACCCCGGGGAUAACAGGCUGAUCUUCCCCAAGAGUCCAUAUCGACGGGAUGGUUUGGCACCUCGAUGUCGGCUCGUCGCAUCCUGGGGCUGGAGUAGGUCCCAAGGGUUGGGCUGUUCGCCCAUUAAAGCGGUACGCGAGCUGGGUUUAGAACGUCGCGAGACAGUUCGGUCCCUAUCCGCUGCGCGCGCAGGAGACUUGAAGGGGGCUGUCCCUAGUACGAGAGGACCGGGACGGACGAACCUCUGGUGUGCCAGUUGUACCGCCAGGUGCACGGCUGGUUGGCUACGUUCGGAAGGGAUAACCGCUGAAAGCAUCUAAGCGGGAAGCUCGCCUUGAGAUGAGGUCUCCCACCACGAGAGUGGGUAAGGCUCCCGGUAGACGACCGGGUUGAUAGGCCGGA